rnacentral:snRNA from 1 species
AGCACGCGCCUAACGGCGUGC